rnacentral:sRNA from 1 species
CCAAUCUUGAGUGAAAAAGAUACCGCGGCUUCAAUCUUUUUCAACAUAAUCAUCGCGCAGUAAAUCAACAAAGCCCAAAGUUGACUCUCUGUCUCCUUCAAGUUUACCUACUACUGUACCCGCGUGAAUAUGAUCUCCACCAGAUAGACGUAAAGCUUUAGCUAGUACACGGAAGUGCAAACCAUGAUUCUUCUGUCUAUCAAUAACAGCAUGCAUUGCACGGUGGAUGUGAAGAAGUAGGCCAUUAUCUCGAAUGAGCCAAACUAGUAUUUGCGGUGAAUCCCCCUGUUAAGUAGUCAUGCAUUACGAUAGGAACUCCCAAUUCUCUGGCAAAUACAGCUCUUUUGAUCAUUUCUUCGCAUGUACCCGG